AAUCAACGCUGGCGGCGUGCCUCAGACAUGCAAGUCGAACGAUUAAAGACUCUCUUCGGAGAGUGUAUAGAGUGGCGCACGGGUGAGUAACACGUAAGUAAUCUACCCUCGAGUGGGGAAUAACAACCGGAAACGGUUGCUAAUACCGCAUAAUGCAGCGGCACCGCAAGGUGACAGUUGUUAAAGAUUUAUCGCUUGAGGAGGAGCUUGCGGCAGAUUAGCUAGUUGGUAGGGUAACGGCUUACCAAGGCUACGAUCUGUAACCGGUCUAAGAGGACGGUCGGUCACACUGACACUGAAUAACGGGUCAGACUCCUACGGGAGGCAGCAGUCGGGAAUUUUGGGCAAUGGGCGAAAGCCUGACCCAGCAACGCCGCGUGAAGGAUGAAGUAUUUCGGUAUGUAAACUUCGAAAGAAUAGGAAGAAUUAAUGACGGUACUAUUUAUAAGGUCCGGCUAACUACGUG
rnacentral:rRNA from 1 species